CGCGUAGGCGGCUUUGCGUGUCUUCCGUGAAAUCCCUCGGCUCAACCGAGGACGUGCGGAAGAAACUGCAAGGCUCGAGUCCGGAAGAGGGGGGCGGAAUUCCCAGUGUAGCGGUGAAAUGCGUAGAUAUUGGGAGGAACACCAGUGGCGAAGGCGGUCCCCUGGGCCGGAACUGACGCUGAGGCGCGAAAGCGUGGGUAGCAAACG
rnacentral:rRNA from 1 species